CCAUGCCGCGUGUGUGAAGAAGGCCUUCGGGUUGUAAAGCACUUUCAGCGAGGAGGAAAGGUUGGUAGCUAAUAACUGCCAGCUGUGACGUUACUCGCAAAGAAGCACCGGCUAACUCCGUGCCAGCAGCCGCGGUAAUACGGAGGGUGCAAGCGUUAAUCGGAAUUACUGGGCGUAAAGCGCACCCCCGGGAUUUGAUAAUUUAGAUUGGAACCCCCCGGGGUCCCCCGGGGGAUUUGCUUUAAUUCUGGUCCG
rnacentral:rRNA from 1 species